rnacentral:rRNA from 1 species
UACGUAGGGAGCAAGCGUUGUCCGGAAUCAUUGGGCGUAAAGCGCGCGUAGGCGGCCUCAUAAGUCCGUUGUGAAAGUCAAAGGCUCAACCUUUGAAAGCCGAUGGAUACUGUGAGGCUAGAGUCCGGAAGAGGCGAGUGGAAUUCCUGGUGUAGCGGUGGAAUGCAUUGAGAUCGGAAAGAACACCAACGGCGAAAGCACUCUGCUGGGCCGACACUGACACUGAGAGACGAAAGCUAGGGGAGCAAAUGGG